rnacentral:lncRNA from 1 species
AUUAUUCUCGCUUGCUGGUGUUUUGGCCUUUCCUGGGCUGGACUCUCAAAAACUCAUAAUCCUUCAUAGGUCUGAAGGCUUCUACAUUCCCACCAGUAGGUGGACCACAUGAACUCAAAACUAGUUGCGGCAGAGGGACCCUGAAGAGAUCCACUCCUGGUGAAUGCCCCCAGGAGUGGGCUCACGUGGUGCCCAGCCUGUGUCCUCGCAGGUCUUGGUGCCUCCACUCAGCUCCCCAAUUCCAGUCUCCUGGCCUUGCCCCGCUGUGUCCCUUUCUCUCUCCUUAGUGCCUAGCUGUGCAAUGUUUGCCUCUCCUUAACAUGUCCUCAGCUGACCCCAUAUCCUCAGAUAGUCCUUGCAACCCUGUUCCUCAGUGACACCUGUGUAUUCUCUCCAGUGGAGACACAGGUGGGACACCCCCAAGCUCAUGGUACAUGCCUGUCAUCAGUACCCCUGCACUGUCAUGGUGGGUCAGUCUGCCCUAGGCUGGACUGACCAACCUGUUCAUUCCCCACAGGAUUGCCCUUUACAGUUCAUGAGUUCCCCCACUGGAGUGCAGACUAGAGCACUGAUUGAUGGACCAGGUAGACUUGAAACCAGGAAUAGCACAAAAGUUAUCAAAGAGGCUCAGCCAUGGAGAUUGCAAGCUGGGGAUGGAAGUAUCCCUGGAGUUGAGCUGUUCUCACACCUGGUACCUGAGUUAUACCCCUGGUGCUGGGUACCAAGGUCACUAGCCUUGCCACUUUUCUAUGUUCCUGAUCCCCUACUAAACAGUCCACCUUUUUGCCUACUUCCCCUGACUCCUGUACCCUGUCCCCUCUUUCUGCCUAGUUUGAAGACACUGGUCAUCCCAUAACAUGUCCUGGGCUAAUACAUAUCCUCAAAUCGUUCUUGAA